UACGUAGGGCGCAAGCGUUGUCCGGAUUUAUUGGGCGUAAAGAGCUCGUAGGCGGUUUGUCGCGUCUUCCGUGAAAACUGGGGGCUUAACUUCCAGCUUGCGGUGGAUACGGGCUGACUGGAGUGCGGCAGGGGAGACUGGAAUUCCUGGUGUAGCGGUGAAAUGCGCAGAUAUCAGGAAGAACACCCGUGGCGAAGGCGGCUCUCUGGGACGUGACUGACGCUGAGACGCGAAAGCGUGGGGAGCAAACAGG
rnacentral:rRNA from 1 species